AUGAGGCUCACAAACUAGGCCGAGGGAGCCACAGAACUGCACGUUCUAACAGUUGGUUUUGUGGUAACAAAUCCAGUCCUGGGAGAGCUGUACUAAUCCCAAGCUUUCCCUCCCUCUUUCUCCUUUUUCAAGACAGGGUUUCUCUGUGUAGCCAGAACUUGCCCUGUAGAGCAAGUUGGCCUCAAACGCAAAGAGCUCUACCCGCCCGUGCCUCCGGAGUGCAGGGCUUGAUCCACCCCCACCUGCUUCAGUAAUCGCUUUUAGUGAUGUGAUCACUAUUUAGAACUGCAAAUCAAAUUUCAGCAUUAGUAUCUAUGGAGACAAACCACAUCCAAGCGCUUGGCUUACUAGAAAAAAAAAUUUAUUAUUAUUAUUUUUUUUUUGAGACAGGGUUUCUCUGUAUAGCCCUGACUGUCCUGGAACUCACUUUGUAGACUAGGCCUCGAACUCAGAAAUCCACCUGCCUCUGCCUCCCAAAUGUUGGGAUUAAAGACGUGCACCACCACUGCCCAGCUCCCCCAAAAUUUUUUUUUAAAGAUUUAUUUAUUUAUUUUAUGUAUAAAAAGUACACUGUAGCUGUCUUCAGACACACCAGAAAAGGGCAUCAGAUCCCAUUACAGAGGGUUGUGAGCCACCAUGUGGUUGCUGGGAAUUGAACUCUGGACCUCUGGAAGAAUAAUCAGUGCUCUUAACCUCUGAGCCAUCUCUCCAGCCCUAGAAAAUGUUUUUAAUAGACCUUCACUAACUGUAUCAACAUAGCCUGCUACAAAGAUGUGGGUGUCUGUUGUACCUUUGAAGACACUAAUAAUAAACAGACUAGGAUAGAAGAGAAGUAAGAGCUGUUUCAUCUCGUGCAUAUGUGGACUGCAGCUUUAUAUCAGACAGACCUCCAUCCUUACAGAGAAGAGUGUGAUAAAUAUAUUCUACCUUAAAUUCACUUUAAAAUUGUGUGCUCUAGGGGCUGGAGAGGUGACUCAGCAGGUAAGAGCACUUCUUGCCCUUUCAGAGUAUUUGAGUUCAGUUCUGAGCAGUGUUCCAACAUUGUGUCUCUGAACCACCUGUAAGUCCAGUUUCAUGGUACCUUUAGCCCUGUUCUGCUGUCUGAUGGCACUGCACUCACAUGGUGCACAGGCAUACAUUCAGGCAAACAUUCAUAC
rnacentral:lncRNA from 1 species